rnacentral:lncRNA from 1 species
CCUUUCUUUGCUUUAUGUAAAAUAGAACUGAAUUGUUGUAAUUCAAAAUUCCUUAGGGUUGCAAGACCAACAAUAAACAAAGAAUAACAGCUACUGCCAUGAAAAUCAAUGUGUUGUCUAGAAAAAUAAACAGUCAAGAAGUGAACAUCUUUUUCUGUGCCCUGUGAAUUUUCCUUGGCAUGAGUUGAUCCUUUGUCAACAAUCUUUGUUUCCUAUUUGAUAUGAAUGUGCAGUGCAGUGGCCCUUAUUCAAGUAUUGAUGAAAGCAUCAAGAGACAUCAAGAAGCUUAAAGAUUUGAUGAAGACUGGAAACAAGUGACCGGGAAAUGAAAGUGACACAACAUUGUCAACCAUUAACCUAAAGACCUGAGUCUUCUAAAAUGGGGACCACAGGUGGCAUCUACUGUGGCCCAGACAUGCAUAUUACUGGAAGAUGUCUGCUAUUUUUAUAGCUGUGGCUUAGGGCUUUCACAUACUGCUAAUGAGAUGAAGCACUAUGCUUUUAGUUUCUGUAGUGAUUUUCAUAGCCAGUCGUGCAGGAAGACAUCAGUCAACAGUCAUUGCAGGAAGAUGCUGAGUAGUCCUACUGCCACAGACAUAAGCUGCUGAAACCAGGACCCAUGUCAUCUUCCACAAAACACUAUCAUGAAUGCUCAGGGAAUGGUACAUUCUAUUGGAAAUCAAAAUAUUAGAAAUCCUCCCUUGUUUCAACUCUUAUUAAUAAAUAUAAUCUUGUGAGCUUAACUAUGUAUUUA